rnacentral:rRNA from 1 species
AGAGUUUGAUCCUGGCUCAGGACGAACGCUGGCGGCGUGCCUAACACAUGCAAGUCGAACGGAGUUGAAAGGAGCUUGCUUUUUUCAACUCAGUGGCGGACGGGUGAGUAACGCGUGAGUAACCUGCCUUUCAGAGGGGGAUAACGUUCUGAAAAGAACGCUAAUACCGCAUAAGAUUGUAGUUUCGCAUGGGACAGCAAUCAAAGGAGCAAUCCGCUGAAAGAUGGACUCGCGUCCGAUUAGAUAGUUGGCGGGGUAACGGCCCACCAAGUCGACGAUCGGUAGCCGGACUGAGAGGUUGAUCGGCCACAUUGGGACUGAGACACGGCCCAGACUCCUACGGGAGGCAGCAGUGGGGGAUAUUGCACAAUGGGGGAAACCCUGAUGCAGCAACGCCGCGUGAAGGAAGAAGGUCUUCGGAUUGUAAACUUCUGUCCUCAGGGAAGAUAAUGACGGUACCUGAGGAGGAAGCUCCGGCUAACUACGUGCCAGCAGCCGCGGUAAUACGUAGGGAGCAAGCGUUGUCCGGAUUUACUGGGUGUAAAGGGUGCGUAGGCGGAUUGGCAAGUCAGAAGUGAAAUCCAUGGGCUUAACCCAUGAACUGCUUUUGAAACUGUUAGUCUUGAGUGAAGUAGAGGUAGGCGGAAUUCCCGGUGUAGCGGUGAAAUGCGUAGAGAUCGGGAGGAACACCAGUGGCGAAGGCGGCCUACUGGGCUUUAACUGACGCUGAGGCACGAAAGUGUGGGUAGCAAACAGGAUUAGAUACCCUGGUAGUCCACACUGUAAACG